UAAAUAUUGACUUUGGAAUGUGGUUUCAGGAUAAGAAUGGUUGUACACCACCAGAUAACAAUAAGUGAUGUACAUUACACAUUGUCUUGCUUACAACAAGCAAUGCAAAUGAUUCAGGAACCAAGCCUAAACCAAACCGGCAAAACCGAAAAUGCUCUCUCUUUUUAAAUGUUGUUUGUCUAAGUUAUAUCUAAUUGUAAACAAUAAGGAUCGCUCGAUCUGUCAAUGCAAUUGUCACCCUAUAA